UACGUAGGGUGCAAGCGUUGUCCGGAAUUACUGGGCGUAAAGAGUUCGUAGGCGGUUUGUCGCGUCGUUUGUGAAAACCAGCAGCUCAACUGCUGGCUUGCAGGCGAUACGGGCAGACUUGAGUACUGCAGGGGAGACUGAAAUUCCUGGUGUAGCGGUGAAAUGCGCAGAUAUCAGGAGGAACACCGGUGGCGAAGGCGGGUCUCUGGGCAGUAACUGACGCUGAGAGACGAAAGCUAGGGGAGCGAAAGGG
rnacentral:rRNA from 1 species